GACGAUAUCGAUGGUGCCCAGGUUUCCUUCCAUGUUUGUCUGCAAGGUGCUCCUCGUUGUCCUGGUAGCCCUCGGCCUCUUUUGUGCAGGGCAUGCAGAUGCAAGUGAAUCAGCGGCAGCGCCACCGCCGGCCGCGCAGGGUGCAACUCUCUCUCGAUCGGACGUCUCGCCGGACUGCUGACACCUGGUGCCGGAAGCAAGGACAACCAGGAGGCUAUACGUCAAAAGCGACGUCUGUUGCUGCAACUCUGGCUAGAUAGAUGAUGAUGCCUAGGUCGCUAAAUUAAUACACAAGAAACCAUACAUGCACAUAUAUACCGGCGUACCGGUGUGAUGAAAUAAUUAUUGUUCAUUAUUGGAAA